rnacentral:pre_miRNA from 1 species
GGCCUCCCUCUUUGGGGUGAUCGAUCGCGGAGCCCCGCCAUUGAUUGCCCUGCAGAGGGUAGCC